GAUCAUUACCGAGUUUUCACUCCCUAACCCUUAUGUGAACCUACCUAUUGUUGCUUCGGCGGACUCGCCCCAGCCGGACGCGGACUGGACCAGCGGCCGCCGGGGACCCUCAAACUCUUGUAUUAUCAGCAUCUUCUGAAUACGCCGCAAGGCAAAACAAAUAAAUCAAAACUUUCAACAACGGAUCUCUUGGCUCUGGCAUCGAUGAAGAACGCAGCGAAAUGCGAUAAGUAAUGUGAAUUGCAGAAUCCAGUGAAUCAUCGAAUCUUUGAACGCACAUUGCGCCCGCCAGCAUUCUGGCGGGCAUGCCUGUUCGAGCGUCAUUUCAACCCUCGACCUCCCUUUGGGGAAGUCGGCGUUGGGGACCGGCAGCACACCGCCGGCCCUGAAAUGGAGUGGCGGCCCGUCCGCGGCGACCUCUGCGUAGUAAUCCAACUCGCACCGGAACCCCGACGCGGCCACGCCGUAAAACACCCAACUUCUGAACGUUGACCUCGAAUCAGGUAGGACUACCCGCUGAACUUAAGCAUA
rnacentral:rRNA from 1 species